ACGCUCGACACCUACGGGGCAGCAGUUGGGAAUAUUGGACAAUGGAGGAAACUCUGAUCCAGUGACGCCGCGUGAAGGAAGAAGGUCUUCGGAUUGUAAACUUAUUUUGUCAGGGAAGAAAAAUGACUGUACCUGAAGAAAAAGCACCGGCUAACUACGUGCCGGCAGCCGCGGUAAUCUGAGCGGGCUGGCAAGGC
rnacentral:rRNA from 1 species